rnacentral:rRNA from 1 species
GAUGAACGCUGGCGGCGUGCCUAAUACAUGCAAGUCGAGCGAACGGACGAGAAGCUUGCUUCUCUGAUGUUAGCGGCGGACGGGAGAGUAACACGUGGAUAACCUACCUAUAGGACUGGGAUAACUUCGGGAAACCGGAGCUAAUACCGGAUAAUAUUUUGAACCGCAUGGUUCAAAAGUGAAAGACGGUCUUGCUGUCACUUAUAGAUGGAUCCGCGCUGCAUUAGCUAGUUGGUAAGGUAACGGCUUACCAAGGCAACGAUGCAUAGCCGACCUGAGAGGGUGAUCGGCCACACUGGAACUGAGACACGGUCCAGACUCCUACGGGAGGCAGCAGUAGGGAAUCUUCCGCAAUGGGCGAAAGCCUGACGGAGCAACGCCGAGUGAGUGAUGAAGGUCUUCGGAUCGUAAAACUCUGUUAUUAGGGAAGAACAUAUGUGUAAGUAACUGUGCACAUCUUGACGGUACCUAAUCAGAAAGCCACGGCUAACUACGUG